GGUUAAUAUACCUGUGGUCUCGUUACUGUGUCCAGGUGCGUGCCUGCUUCUUAACCUACACAGAACGUUGUGUGGUUGCUAUACUGGUCAGAUGGGUGGAUUGGAGGUUUAACACAUAUUGGUCUUUUAAUCCCUCAACAAGCGUUAGGAAGAUUGGCGGCGCCGGACUACUUCACUUGAUUUUCUGUCCAGCAGUCACGGUGAGGUGAGCCGCAGCGCCACCGUUCUGGGGCACCGUCAGUUCCCAUCGCUCACGAAAGCAUCCCGGACUUGGUUGUCUCACGUCUUUAAUCAUGCACACCAGGUCCCUGACAUCUCAUUUGUAUGUGUUUAAAUGUUUCCCCUCUGCGCCCCACAUUCGUUGAUCGUUGUUGUUCAUGUCUCCUUGUGGUGACUUACAUUUUGCUGUAUAACCAGCCCUUUGUUUGAAUUUUUCAUGUGUUAAGGGCUUGGUGUUACUUUAAAGAUUUGACAUUGAAUGCCAUUUCUGCCUGCGCUUGGUUCCUUCACCUUCACCACUCUCACUUGUGACACCAGCAAAUAACAAUCUGAUGAUUAAACUUUAUCUGUGGAAAUGUGAAUGAUAGAGAAAAAUGGUUGUCGUAUUAUCUGCUUGCAAUCUAUUAAAGCAUAAAGGUUUGUUUUUCCUUGCCUCACCUGAUAAGGUUCUCGGGAACUGAAUCAAACAUUACCACCAUACAAAUUAUUCACACUCACUAAAAUACUUAAGAGGUUUCCUCUUUGCCAAGUUCUUACAUAUGCUUCUGUGCAGCAGCUAAGUUUUAAAAGCACAUAUUGAAUGUCUGGUAUUUGGUAACCAAUAUUAGCUAUAAAUCAGUUAGUAUGUGUUCAGAUAGGCAGGCUAGUACCAACCACCCAACUGAUUAUUGAUGCUGCAAUGCAUCUGGUCUUUUCUCUGUAUUUCUUGGGGGAAUUUUAUGUAUAAUUUGGUUGUGUUGACAGAAGAUUACAGGAGUGUUUUUACUGAGACCUGUGAGCUGUUUUAGUAAUGAGGGCGCAGCAGUUUGUGCACCAGACACAGCAGGAACUUUGUAUUCAGUUACGUGUUAACAGCAAUAAUUGUUGACACUUCUAAGGUAGUGGGAUUGUUCCAUCGAAGCAGUCGGGUUACCAUAAAUCAGAAGAUCCGGAGGUUUCGAGGGUGACGUUUGGCAACUCUACCCUUUAGCUCCCUCCACAGAUUUAUGGGAUUAAGGUCUGAAUGAUUCUCCUCUGAAUCAUUCAGAUGUUCAAUGGCAAACUUCAGACGGGCCUGUACAUGUGCGAUGGUCUUGUAGCCCAUUCCAGCCUUGUGUAGGUCUACAAUCUUGUCCCUAACAUCCUUGGACAGCUCUUUGGUCUUGGCCAUGGUGGAGCGUUUGGAAUCUGAUUGCUUCUUUGGACAGGUGUCUUUUAUACAGAUAACAAGCUGAGAUUAGGAACCCUCCUUUUAAGUGUGCUCCUAAUCUCAGCUCGUUUCCUGUAAAGAAGACAACUGGGAGCCAGAAAUCUUUCUGAUUGAGAGGGGAUAAAAUACCUAUUUCACACAUUAAAAUGCAAAUCAAUUUAUAAACAUUUUGACAUGUUUUUCUGGAUUGUUUUGUUGUUAUUCUGUCUCUCACUGUUCAAAUAAACCUAC
ensembl:lncRNA